GAUGAACGCUGGCGGCGUGCCUAAUACAUGCAAGUCGAGCGAACAGACGAGGAGCUUGCUCCUCUGACGUUAGCGGCGGACGGGUGAGUAACACGUGGAUAACCUACCUAUAAGACUGGGAUAACUUCGGGAAACCGGAGCUAAUACCGGAUAACAUGUUGAACCGCAUGGUUCAACAGUGAAAGACGGUUUUGCUGUCACUUAUAGAUGGAUCCGCGUCGCAUUAGCUAGUUGGUAAGGUAACGGCUUACCAAGGCAACGAUGCGUAGCCGACCUGAGAGGGUGAUCGGCCACACUGGAACUGAGACACGGUCCAGACUCCUACGGGAGGCAGCAGUAGGGAAUCUUCCGCAAUGGGCGAAAGCCUGACGGAGCAACGCCGCGUGAGUGAAGAAAGUCUUCGGAUCGUAAAACUCUGUUAUUAGGGAAGAACAAAUGUGUAAGUAACUAUGCACGUCUUGACGGUACCUAAUCAGAAAGCCACGGCUAACUACGUG
rnacentral:rRNA from 1 species